rnacentral:lncRNA from 1 species
GGGUUUCUUUUGGGUAGAGGGUAGGUGGUAGGGUAGUGACAGCCCUAUCAUCCCUGGUAUUUCCCCACGAUCAGGUAAUCCGGUAGGAGUUCUCUAAAGUCCCUUUCGGCUGGAUGUCCAGCUGCAGGGAUCUCCCUAGAGCCUCAGACUUAGUUCUAACUAUAGUUAUUUUGAUUAGAUGUUCUACUAAUAAUUCUUUGCAUAGUUAUAUAAGAUCAAUGCCAGCUUAAGUAGUUGUUCUUUAUUUCUUUCUUUUUCUUAUUUUCUUUUAUUCCUUGAGGUUGCCCCGAUGACUGUGUCCACUAUCCAUAUUUUAAGAGCCGCCGUGACCCCUAAUUAGACUAUGUCUACCUAUGCAUCUCAAUAAGUUCAUGCUACAAACCAAGCUAGAUGGAUUUGUUACACCCCCCUACGGGAUUAUAUACGAUAACCCUUGAAUACUCACGAGUUGAAAUGCUACAAUGAUAGUUCUGUUCGCUUGAAGUUUUAUUCUUUAUAUUCAUAAACUAUUGAUUGGCGUACCUAAGUACCAUUACUUAAGAUUGUAAACUCUGUGCAUUUAUGUGG